rnacentral:piRNA from 1 species
UAGAACUUUCAGUUUUGACAGAGGUGAUC